GGAACACCGCAAGAAAGAAAAUAAGAACCAGUUGUGAUAUGAAUUUCUAAUUAUCUUCUGAUAUAGAAAUGCAUUAGAGUUAUUGAUAUGGAGUGAAGGAAUUGUUGUGUAUAGUUUGGGCCUGUGGUCAAGCUUCACUUCCUCCCUCCUUGAGGAAAAAGAAAUGCAUGACGUGUUAUGAUCAGUGUUGCUGGAUUUUGGAACUAACGUAAGUAUUAGAAGCAGGGAGGCAGGCACUUUAUGCGACCAUACACCAAGUCCAAAAUUAUAAUGUUACAUGAUAAAGGACAAUAAAAACUUCAUUUCCUGAUAAAAUUAUUUGGAACAAAGUGUGGAUGUUAUCACACACCAAACCAUUUCUUUUCAUCACUUAUCCCUGCCAGAAUGUGGAAAAUCCUAACACAUUAAUGCAUGCAUGAAACAAACUUAAAUUCUUACAGAAAUGAGCUGCGCAAGCAGUAUUUUGAUGCAUUCUUUUUAGCUUAGAGAGAAAUAUCUAAUAUGCAGCAGUGUUUUAUGAACUUUGUCAAUUUAAGCUCAAGUCUUUAUGUUCCUUAACUGUGCUGGUGAAGGCUUUUCUUCUUCUU
rnacentral:misc_RNA from 1 species